rnacentral:rRNA from 1 species
GACGAACGCUGGCGGCGUGCUUAACACAUGCAAGUCGAACGAUGAAGCCUAGCUUGCUAGGUGGAUUAGUGGCGAACGGGUGAGUAAUACGUGAGUAACCUACCUUUAACUCUGGGAUAAGCCUGGGAAACUGGGUCUAAUACCGGAUACGACCAAUCUCCGCAUGGGGUGUUGGUGGAAAGCGUUAUGUAGUGGUUAUAGAUGGGCUCACGGCCCAUCAGCUUGUUGGUGAGGUAACGGCUCACCAAGGCGACGACGGGUAGCCGGCCUGAGAGGGUGACCGGCCACACUGGGACUGAGACACGGCCCAGACUCCUACGGGAGGCAGCAGUGGGGAAUAUUGCACAAUGGGCGCAAGCCUGAUGCAGCGACGCCGCGUGAGGGAUGACGGCCUUCGGGUUGUAAACCUCUGUUGGCAGGGAAGAAGAGAGAUUGACGGUACCUGCAGAGAAAGCGCCGGCUAACUACGUG